rnacentral:lncRNA from 1 species
GGUUAUUGUGUUUAAUAAAAGGGGUGGUUAGGGUUCGUGCAAGUUGUUCCCUAUUUUGUGCAUAGUGGUUGUGAGUAGAUAGAAAUGACUUCUUCCCAAGAUGUAUUCCAUAGUUAAUAAGAUAAAGAGUUAAUAGGAUGAAGAUGACCAUAGAGGAAUUCAAUCUUAUGACCCAUAUGGGGUAAAUCCAAUGUAUGUAAAUAACAUGC